AUACGUAGGGGGCGAGCGUUGUCCGGAAUGAUUGGGCGUAAAGGGCGCGCAGGCGGCCCGACAAGUCAGUAGUGGAAGUCCAUUUUUCAAGGGUGGAAGUGCUAUUGAAACUGUAGGGCUUGAGUGCGGGAGAGGUUAUCGGAAUUCCCGGUGUAGCGGUGAAAUGCGUAGAGAUCGGGAGGAACACCAGUGGCGAAGGCGGGUAACUGGACCGCAACUGACGCUGAGGCGCGAAAGUGUGGGGAGCAAACAGGAUUAGAUACCCUGGUAGUCCACACGGUAAACGAUGAAUGCUAGGUGUAGGGGGUAUCGACCCCUUCUGUGCCGCAGUAAACACAGUAAGCAUUCCGCCUGGGGAGUACGGUCGCAAGAUUAAA
rnacentral:rRNA from 1 species